GUUCUGCUGUUUUACAGGAAGACUGAAAUGCUACUCCCUUCAUCUUGGAAUCCUUCCCCUCACGGUGCUCGUCUUAGUCUUCUUUUGCUUCGUGUGCCUGAGCCUCAGAAGCCAGGAAUGGGGGCACCCAGGAGCUGUGAAUAGGAAGGCCUAUCCCCAGCCAAGGGUACUGACACCCACUAGGACAGAUGUUCUUGUCCUGACUCCUUGGCUGGCUCCCAUCAUCUGGGAGGGGACCUUCGACAUUGACACACUGAAUGAGCAGUUCAGGCUUCGGAACACCACGAUCGGACUGACUGUGUUUGCCGUCAAAAAGUAUGUGGUGUUCCUGAAGCUCUUCCUGGAGACGGCAGAGCAGCACUUCAUGGUGGGACACAAGGUCAUCUACUAUGUCUUCACUGACCGGCCAGCUGAUGUCCCACAGGUGCCCCUGGGUGCAGGACGGCGGCUGGUGGUGCUAACUGUGCGCAACUACACCCGCUGGCAGGACGUGUCCAUGC
rnacentral:lncRNA from 1 species